UACGGAGGGGGCAAGCGUUGUUCGGAAUUACUGGGCGUAAAGGGCGCGUAGGCGGCUCGCUAAGUCGAACGUGAAAUCCCCAGGCUUAACCUGGGAACUGCGUCCGAUACUGGCAGGCUUGAAUCCGGGAGAGGGAUGUGGAAUUCCAGGUGUAGCGGUGAAAUGCGUAGAUAUCUGGAGGAACACCGGUGGCGAAGGCGGCAUACUGGACCGGCAUUGACGCUGAGGCGCGAAAGCGAGGGGAGCAAACGGG
rnacentral:rRNA from 1 species